AUAUUAAUAAGCGGAGGAAAAGAAACUAACAAGGAUUCCCCUAGUAACGGCGAGUGAAGCGGGAAGAGCUCAAGUUGAAAAUCGGCCACCAGGUCGAGUUGUAACCUAAGGAAACAGCGUCAAUGCGGGCCUGGGUCUAAGUUCCUUGGAACAGGACGACAUAGAGGGUGACAUCCCCGUCUAUGGCUCAGAGCAGCAACCUGCAUGUAGCGACCUGUUUUCUAAGAGUCGGGUUGUUUGAGAUUGCAGCCCAAAGAGGAUGGUAGAUUUCAUCUAAAGCUAAAUACAUGCGAGAGACCGAUAGCGAACAAGUACCGUGAGG
rnacentral:rRNA from 1 species